GACGAACGCUGGCGGCACGCCUAACACAUGCAAGUCGAACGGAGAAUAUUGGAUUUAUUCAUUAUUCUUAGUGGCGGACGGGUGAGUAACACGUGAGCAACCUGCCUCUAAGAGAGGGAUAGCUUCUGGAAACGGAUGGUAAUACCUCAUAACAUAAUCAUACCGCAUGGUGAGAUUAUCAAAGAUUUAUUACUUAGAGAUGGGCUCGCGUCUGAUUAGCUAGAUGGUGAGGUAACGGCCCACCAUGGCGACGAUCAGUAGCCGGACUGAGAGGUUGAACGGCCACAUUGGGACUGAGACACGGCCCAGACUCCUACGGGAGGCAGCAGUGGGGAAUAUUGCACAAUGGGGGGAACCCUGAUGCAGCGAUGCCGCGUGGAGGAAGAAGGUUUUCGGAUUGUAAACUCCUGUCUUAAGGGACGAUAAUGACGG
rnacentral:rRNA from 1 species